UACGAGGGGGGCGAGCGUUGUUCGGAUUUACUGGGCGUAAAGGGCGCGUAGGCGGCAAUUCAAGUCAGCUGUGAAAUCUCCGGGCUUAACUCGGAACGGUCAGCUGAUACUGCUUUGCUAGAGUACAGAAGGGGCAGUCGGAAUUCUUGGUGUAGCGGUGAAAUGCGUAGAUAUCAAGAGGAACACCUGAGGUGAAGACGGGUUGCUGGGCUGAUACUGACGCUGAGGCGCGAAAGCUAGGGUAGCAAACGGG
rnacentral:rRNA from 1 species